rnacentral:lncRNA from 1 species
UAUAUAUACUGGUGCGGAGAAAGAUCCAUCCACUUAUUAUCCACUCAAACUUAGUUCGGGAUUGCUGAGCUGUUAUGAUGAAUUUAUUUUAUAUUUUGAAGUAAAAAAUACAGGCAAAAGGAAUAAAAAGUUGGUUACCCAAGCGGAAAACAAAAAAAAAACUUGAUUAAAAUAGUAUAAUCCACCUCAAUGCCACACUCAACCUUAUUAUUUACGAAACUACUCUUUUUUUUUUGAGACAGCUCCUCGGAUGUACGUUCCCUGCCGUGAGGGUGGCUGACAUGUGGGCUGGACCAACAGGUCCGUACGUCAGGGGAUCCUCCUCCUUUUUUUUAGAACAACAUGGGAAAUUACUAUGCCCGUACGAUGGCUACGUGAUCUAUUGAAUUUGAUGAGGCCCAAGCCCAAGCCUAGGUAUAGUGGAGGUAACUUUUUUUUUUGGUAUAGUGGUGGUAACUUUGUCAAUCAUGGUGCAUGAAUUGUAUGUUUUUUUUGUCAUAAGCAUAGCAUGGCGGUACUUACCUGCCCGCAAAAGCAUAGCAUGGCG